UACAGAGGGGGCAAGCGUUAUCCGGAUUCACUGGGUUUAAAGGGUGCGUAGGUGGGCAGGUAAGUCAGUGGUGAAAUCUCCGAGCUUAACUCGGAAACUGCCAUUGAUACUAUCUGUCUUGAAUAUCCUGGAGGUGAGCGGAAUAUGUCAUGUAGCGGUGAAAUGCUUAGAUAUGACAUAGAACACCAAUUGCGAAGGCAGCUCACUACGGGAUUAUUGACACUGAGGCACGAAAGCGUGGGGAUCAAACAGG
rnacentral:rRNA from 1 species